CAGCUAGACAACUGUCAGGAAAGAAGACAUGAUGUCAAGUGAGCUUCAAGGUGCAAUUGCUCGGCUUUUCUUACACAAAUUUUCUAACCUGAUUAACUAGAAUCAGAGUUAUCAAGGGAAGCUACAGCUGAUGGAGGAGCUCAAUUUGUUGGAUAGGUUCUCUUAUGUCCCCCGGAUGGUUUUGGAGCUCCACUAGGGCUUUGCCCUAGCCGCCGCCUAUCCGUCUGACAGCAAAAUUAUGGCUCCUCCUUUCAGUUUUUUAAGGUGAAGUGGCAUUCUCGUUCAUUUUUGGAUGUUUUUUUCGAUGAUCUGAUAGAUCAUUUGGGUGUUGAUUCGAAUGCUAAGGAUGUGGUUCACAGUAAAUGGCUUGUUGGUGACGAUUCCUUAGCUCUUGAAAAUGAUGGAGAGGAUUUUCAUGAGCCAGAGGACGAUUCUUUGGAAUUAUAUGGAUUAGAUGUUAUUCACAUUGUUGUGAUGAUUCUUUCAAGAAGGAUGGUAAAAGGAGGAGAAAAAACAAAAAGAAAUAAUUUCUUUUGAGUGCUUUCUUC